UUGUUAAAAGAGGAUGAUGAUGACAUUAUGGAUGUCUGCUAGGGGCCAUAGGGGAGGAAAAGGCAAGAUGCAGCAACAGAGAAAGCACAUUGUUACGUCCAGAUGGCAAGUACGAGUGGCCAAUAGAGCAGCCGAUUGGUCCGUGUGCCAGCAGGCAGCCGGCGGGAAAUUGGUGGCUCCUGAUUGGCCCAGCUACUGACAGCUGAGUAUAAAAGAGCUGUCAGUGCCUCAAAAUGCCACUCGCUCUCCAAGGUAGUUAGCUAAGCAGAGCGAGUCACUGUUAGCUGUUAUUGUUAACCAAUAAACAUUUGUGUUUAUCU